rnacentral:rRNA from 1 species
UACGGAGGGAGCUAGCGUUAUUCGGAAUUACUGGGCGUAAAGCGCACGUAGGUGGCUUGAUAAGUUGGGUGUGAAAUCCCCGGGCUUAACCUGGGAAUUGCAUUCAAGACUGUCUUGCUAGAGUGUGGAAGAGGGAAGCGGAAUUCCAGGUGUAGCGGUGAAAUGCGUAGAUAUCUGGAGGAACAUCAGUGGCGAAGGCGGCUUCCUGGUCCAACACUGACACUGAGGUGCGAAAGCGUGGGGAGCAAACAGG